rnacentral:misc_RNA from 1 species
AAAAAGCAAAACAGAAGAAAAGAAGAGGAAAUAGGUUAAAGAAGAUCAAUCAAGCAAAGAAAUGGCGAGCGAUAACGAGCCCGCGAAGUUGCUAUUGCCGUACCUGCAACGAGCCGAUGAGCUGCAAAAACACGAACCUUUGGUCUCUUAUUACUGUCGUUUGUAUGCAAUGGAGAAAGGGUUGCAGAUUCCACAGAACGAGCGGACCAAGACCACCAAUUCUCUCCUUAUUUCCCUUAUGAAUCAACUUGAAAAGGAUAAGAAGUCACUGAAGUUGGUCUCUGAAGACAAUUUGCACCUAGAGGGAUUUGCACUAAGUGUAUUUGGGAAGGCAGACAAGCAAGAUCGUGCUGGACGAGCAGAUUUGAAUACUGCAAAAACAUUUUAUGCGGCAAGCAUUUUCUUUGAGAUUCUAAACCAGUUUGGUGCCCUUCAGCCUGAU